CUAAGCCUAAUGAACAUAAAAUGGUAAUCCACGAGCAAAGAAGAUAGGCAUGUGACUUAUCAAGAUAGUACUUGUUAUAAGCAUGCACUUCUUGUUAUUUGAGGCUCUUCAUUAUAUGGGCAGAUUUUUUUAUUUUUUAUUUUUAAGUCAUUCUUAGUAUAAACAUUCACUUAAUUUGUUAAUACAACUAACUAAUUGGCAAGUGCUCUUGUGUAUUGGGGGUAGAUUUAACAUAAGCUCUCUUUCAUAGUUAAAUAUGCUUAUUUAGCUUCAUGUUUUCAGCCCAACAAAGAAAUGAUAGUUGGCAUCAGGCUGAAGUUAUGGAAGCAAGGAUCA
rnacentral:lncRNA from 1 species